rnacentral:rRNA from 1 species
AAUAGAUACCCGGGUAGUCCACGCCGUAAACGAUGUCGACUUGGAGGUUGUUCCCUUGAGGAGUGGCUUCCGGAGCUAACGCGUUAAGUCGACCGCCUGGGGAGUACGGCCGCAAGGUUAAAACUCAAAUGAAUUGACGGGGGCCCGCACAAGCGGCGGAGCAUGUGGUUUAAUUCGAUGCAACGCGAAGAACCUUACCUACUCUUGACAUCCACGGAACUUUUCAGAGAUGAAUUGGUGCCUUCGGGAACCGUGAGACAGGUGCUGCAUGGCUGUCGUCAGCUCGUGUUGUGAAAUGUUGGGUUAAGUCCCGCAACGAGCGCAACCCUUAUCCUUUGUUGCCAGCGGUCCGGCCGGGAACUCAAAGGAGACUGCCAGUGAUAAACUGGAGGAAGGUGGGGAUGACGUCAAGUCAUCAUGGCCCUUACGAGUAGGGCUACACACGUGCUACAAUGGCGCAUACAAAGAGAAGCGACCUCGCGAGAGCAAGCGGACCUCAUAAAGUGCGUCGUAGUCCGGAUUGGAGUCUGCAACUCGACUCC